UAUGUAUUUUCCCAGUGAGAUUUAUGGUGGUUCAGGUAUCGCCUUGUCCUCAAGCCAGGAGCAAAUCUGUGCCGCGGCAUGGGGCCGAGCGGAGCCCACUGGCGUGGAGGCCUGGAAGUGCUCGUUCACGGGGUCAGGGUCUUGCAGAGGUCCUUGCAGCCCAGGACACGAUGCUUAUUCAUAGGGCUGGGGAGCUUGUGACGGGGAAUUCCUCGUGGACAACGUCACUGACGCUCGUUCGCCUGAAUCAUUGCUGAAUGCGGUCACUAAUGCACGAAUCAGACUUGUUGAAUACCGAGAAGAGUGGACAAGUCACCAGUGUGCGUUGCAUCAGGAUGCAACAGAUGAAUCCAGGAUAAGGAAUAUUUGUAACAACAUUUACGGCAACGCCCAGCUUGCAGGCGUGCGGGAAGCAAGAAGUCCCGGGGAGGGAAUGAAGGCUGAGAUGUGGAUGGGCAAGAACCACCCUGCUCCUUGCAGCAGCAGCAUGGCCCCAGGCUGCUCCAAAAACUUGGAUAACCCCUGGAUUUAAUUAUAGCAGAGCCUGGAUGUGAGGCCGCUCUGAUAGGAGGAGAAAGCAGCCUGCGUGGAGAAUGGCACCUUUACGAGGAUUUUGCACGGCUUAUUGGCCCCCGGUGCCCAGACGUACGUGGCUGGAGCAGCAUGCAGGUUUUCUUUUCCAGGUGACAGCAUGGGGACAUGCACAGCCAGCAGCGUGACCCUGGGGAGCCUUUUUUGCACUCUCAAAGGUGAACACAAAGCACCAAGAACGGCUGCUUUAAAUAGAGGCCAGGGGCAAAGCGGCCUUUUUCAGAGCUCUCGAGUUGCUUAUCAGAGCAAGCUGCCACCAAACCAAGACCCUUUCCAGGUUUCCAGACGAUUUAUUGUGAUCCUGGGCCAGCACACGCUGGUUGCUGCUGCGUGUCACCCCGGUGCCAGGCUCCGAACCAAGCACAUCCUUUGGGCGUUACAAGUGUCACCCGCCUCUGGCUUUGCAUGGUAUAGACGUAAGGGAGAGCCAACGCUCUCAUUUUGAGUCCAGAUCACAACACUGACAUCAAGAAGUAUUUUUUUUUUUAAUAUACCUACCUAUACAUGGAUGUGUUUCUGGGUCAGCGUGGGUUUCUGUUACCACUGUCAUGCAAGGGUAUGAAAGCAAUUUGCAAGUCUUAAGGCACCUUGUGAUGUCCACAAGCACUUCCUACACCGAUAACCACAUGUUAUUUCUUCCUAAUUCUGGCUUUUCAAUAGAAGUGGCAUAUUUUGACCUAUGUAAACAUUUUCCCCAAAAUAUUGGCAUUACUGCUAAAGGGUGGUUUUCAAAUAGCUACAAAAUAGGCUGCAAAUUUAUGAAAAAUUUGGGCUGAAACUCCAGCUUCAUUAAAUGUUGCUUUUAUGUAAAUGUUGCCCCGUGCAUAUGUCAGUAGCAGACAGAAUUUGUCUUAAAUGGUAAAGCUUUAUCAUAUUGGUAAACUCCAGGGAAAAAUACCCAUAGCAUGGCAUGAACUUGUCUGGAGACUGAAUUAAACCCCCAGACAAGGCAAUAUGGCUGGUCAAGGGAUUGACCCCUAUUUCAGGAGAAUCCUAAACCUGAAAAUUGAGCAAAUGGGUUAAAGCCCAGCAGAUACGUCUCAGAGUUUCUAGAAAUUCAGAGUUUUGGAGUUCUGCAGAUGAGUUAUCCAGUUCUGCAAGAUUUUGCUUGUGGCUUUGCCAUACGGUGUUUUGCUCUGUGCUGCCGUGGGGUUUGCUGUGUUUUGGUGGACAGGUGAGAUCUGUCCUCAGUUCUGGCGUCCUUGUGUCCAACGGCCAUCCAGGCUUGCUGCUCUGCCAUGCGUGAGCCUGGUGUUGUGGUGAGA